rnacentral:rRNA from 1 species
GACGAACGCUGGCGGCGUGCUUAACACAUGCAAGUCGAGCGGAGCGGCGAACGGGUGAGUAACGCGUGAGUAACUGCCCCCCUCUCUGGGAUAACAGUUGGAAACGGCUGCUAAUACCGGAUAGUGGGGGAUGACUCGGGUCCUAUCAGCUUGUUGGUGGGGUAUUGGCCUACCAAGGCGACGACGGAUAGCCGGCCUGAGAGGGCGUCCGGCCACAGUGGUCUGAGAUACGGCCCAGACGCCAACGGGAGGCAACAGGGGGGAAUAUUGCACAAUGAGGGAAACCCUGAGGCAGCGACGCCGCGUGCGGGAUGACGGCCUUCGGGUUAUAAACCGCUUUCAGCCAUGACGCGGUAGUGGCAGAAGAAGCACCGGCUAACUACGUGCCAGCCGCCGCGGUAAUAC